rnacentral:rRNA from 1 species
AACGAACGCUGGCGGCAUGCCUAACACAUGCAAGUCGAACGAGACCUUCGGGUCUAGUGGCGCACGGGUGCGUAACGCGUGGGAACCUGCCCUUAGGUUCGGAAUAACUCCCCGAAAGGGGUGCUAAUACCGGAUAAUUUCUUCGGACCAAAGAUUUAUCGCCUUUGGAUGGGCCCGCGUUGGAUUAGCUAGUUGGUAGGGUAAAAGCCUACCAAGGCGACGAUCCAUAGCUGGUCUGAGAGGAUGAUCAGCCACACUGGGACUGAGACACGACCCAGACUCCUACGGGAGGCAGCAGUGGGGAAUAUUGGACAAUGGGCGAAAGCCUGAUCCAGCAAUGCCGCGUGAGUGAUGAAGGCCUUAGGGUUGUAAAGCUCUUUUACCCGGGAUGAUAAUGACAGUACCGGGAGAAUAAGCACCGGCUAACUCCGUG